GUGUGUCUGUGCGCAGAAGCGGAAGUCACGCGGGUCGGAGCUGGUGGCUAACCUGAAGCUAACGCGAAGCUAACCCGGUGAGCGGCGGCACAGACGAGGAGAAGUCCGUCAGAGCGGCGGUUCAGCACGUGAGGUCUGCACACACCGCCGGCCACAGAUUCACUCCGACCUCCGGCUGUGUUCCACGGAGGAGAAGUUCCACUGGAGCCUGAAGCGGAGUCACGAAGCGGAGACUGAAAAGGUAAGGAACGAUGUCGCACCACUCCCGUAGUUCGUCUCGGGCCACGGACUGUAAAGUGUACGUGGGUGACCUGGGCAAUGGUGCGGCGAAGGGUGAGCUGGAGCGAGCGUUCAGUUAUUACGGUCCACUGAGAAGUGUCUGGGUGGCGAGGAACCCUCCCGGGUUUGCCUUCGUGGAGUUUGAGGAUCCCAGAGAUGCAGAAGAUGCUGUCAAAGGCAUGGAUGGAAAGCUCCUAUGUGGUUCACGGGUUCGUGUGGAGUUGUCGACAGGCCUCUCCAGGAAGGGCCGCGGGCGCCCCAGUCGACGCCAGUUUGACCCCAAUGACCGGUGUUACCAGUGUGGGGACCGAGGUCAUUACGCCUACGACUGUUACCGCUUCAGCAAGAGGGGCCGUCGCAGCAGAUCUCGCUCCCAUUCUCGGUCUCGCUCCAGGUCCAGGUCCCGUGGACGUCGCUAUCGCUCUAACUCCCGCAGCCGUAGCCACAGCCGGAGCCGCCGCAGAUCUCCAUCUUACUCUAGACGCAGGAGCAGGUCUGGCUCUCCAGCCCGCUCCAAGUCCAGGACUCCCGUGAGAAGUCGCUCGAGAUCCCGCUCUCGGUCUGGCUCUGCGCCAAGAAGACGCUCUGUCUCUCGAUCCCGCUCACGGUCUCCACCAGCUAACCACAAGAAGAACAGCGUGUGGUGGGACCUGAGCACUGCACUGACACCGCAGCUGAUCCCAGGCCCAGGGUCUGCCAGCUGGCGGUGUGUACGUCCUGCGGGAGGGUGACUAUGCGCUGACCUGAGAUCAGCCUUCUUCUGCAUCUGGUGUUAGACAGCGAGAAAGAGGUCGACCUACAGACCGAACCCUCCUCACAGUGAAUGGGUGACCGUCUGUUCAACCGACGCACACGCUCAGACGAGAUCAGCCCGCGCACACAUACAGUUGUUCUGCUUGAGUCACCCAGCCAGCCAGCCAGCCUUCAGACGUACCAGAGGGCUGACCCACACAGAUCAGACCUCGACCACUACCUUUUUUAAUCCAUUACCUACCUACCAGACCCCCUACCUACCUACCAGAGUUCUUCGGCCUCUGUCUUAGCUUCUGAAAGUGAGUGAGAGAGAGAGAGAGCUGACGAGAGAUCAGUCUUCAAGAGCCUCCCAGCGCAGUGUCUCUACGAGUUGUAGUCAUCCGUCCUUCAGUCCUUCGCUUCUGUGUUCUUGUUGUUUCUGCCACUGUCUCCAAAGUCGUUCCCGUUCAGCAAGUCCAAACCGAAGCCCUAGGCCAGCAGAUGACUGAGCGAUGAAGACUAUUAGACACACACACUCACACACACUCACAAUCUGCAUUUACAGUCCUGCAGCAGCUGUUUUUUUUUUUUUGUAUUUUUAUGUCUGGUUUCUGUCAUUGAAGUUGGAAUUUUCUCUCCAGGGCUGCAGCUUCUGUGCAGGCUCAGAUUGUUAAAGCUGUAGUCAGAGCAGCAGGCAGAAAUCUGAUUGUUUUAAAUGUUCUGCUGCUGCUUUAGGUCGUCUCUCUUGUCAGAGGAUUUAUGACGUAAAGGUAACACAGAAAGUUGCAGCUGAUUUUUAGCAGUGGUUCGACAGUUCACAGUAAACUGCAGUUGAAGAAAAGCCCAGGUCUUGAGGGUGGGGACACAGUACUGAAAAACUGCUUUUAUUCCUGAACCUUAAAAUAAUUUUCCCCCUUUGAAAUGCAAAGACAGUUUUUGUAUUUCACAUGAAUUUUGAGUUUAAAUGCUGUGUAGUGUUUCCUCAUAUAAUGGCAUAAACAGAAAUUCCUGGCCUGCAUGCCUUUAAAUAUGUGACGUCACAUUCCUACUGCUUGUUGUGUCUGUGAUGCACUGCCCUUUUUAUGAACCGAUCAGCUUCCCAAUGUGCUGAAAAGAUUUUUUUCACCCCCUCGUGUUGAUAUUAUUUGUUCCUGUGACUUUUUGAUUUUAAAGUACGUAUGAACAGCGCUGAAGUUUGAUUUGACUGUUUGGUUCUGUUUCUGGCUUCUACAGUAAGACAGUGGCAGUUUUAUUUUUGAAUAAACAUCUGCAACAUA